rnacentral:rRNA from 1 species
GACGAACGCUGGCGGCGUGCUUAACACAUGCAAGUCGAACGGAAAGGCCCUGCUUUUGUGGGGUUCUCGAGUGGCGAACGGGUGAGUAACACGUGAGUAACCUGCCCUUGACUUUGGGAUAACUUCAGGAAACUGGGGCUAAUACCGGGUAUGAGCUUCUGCUGCAUGGUGUGGGUUGGAAAGUUUGGGCUGUUGGGGAUGGACUGGCGGGUUAUCAGCUGUUUUGUGGGGUAGUGGCGGACAAAGGGUUCGACGGGUAGCCGGCAUGAGAGGGUGAACGGCGACAUUGGGCCUAAGAUACGGACCAGAAUGAAACGGGCGGCAGUAGUGGGGAAUAUUGCACAAUGGGCGGAAGCCUGAUGUAGCAACGCCGCGUGCGGAAUGACGGCCUUCGAGUUGUAAACAGCUUUCGAAGGUGCCGAAGAGUGCGUGACGGUAAUGGGUAAAGAAGCACCGGCUAACUACGUG